GUUCCACAGCAGUACUGGCAAAAUAUUCUGUGAACAGAUGAAACCAAAGUUGAGUUGUUUGGAAGAAACAUACAACACCAUGUGUGGCGAAAAAAAGGCACAGCACACCAACCUCAAAACCUCAUCCCAACUGUAAAGUAUGGUGGUGGGGCAUAAUGGUUUUGGGCUGCUUUGCUGCGUCAGGGCCUGGACGGAUUGCUAUCAUCGAAGGAAAAAUGAAUUCCCAAGUUUAUCAAGAC